CUGUGAUCAAGAAGAGUGUACGCAUUGUGAUUGUCCUCGCGGGCGGUGGGCGAUCAUACAUGGUGUGUAUUUUGAGGUAGUAGCAGAUAAUGCAAGAGGAUGAAUGGGGAGAAGCUGCCUGCCUGCUGUCUUGGUAUCACAUCAUGGAGCGGCCAGGAACCUGAUCUCCUCUGGUCCACCAUCUUGGAUCUCCCCUUAUUUCUAGCUUUAAAGAAAGCAUUUUAGAUGCCAGAAGAGAACGCUUGGAAUGAAACUACCCACUCUGAAAUGGGCCUUCUCAGCUGCCUUGGAGAUUUAGAGAUGAAGAUUCACACGAGUCAUAUAUUUGUUUUGCUUCCUGUCAGCCUACAUCACUGAUGAGAACCAAGAAGUCAUGAUUCCUUUCACCAGGCCAAAUAUGACAGUCACCCAAUUGCUGUCUUUCUCCAGGGAAGAGGUGGCAGAGCUUCAGCUCAGGGCUACAAAACACCAUGUCCUGGCUCAGCAAGGCUGUAUACACCAUGCUGUCCAGCCCCUUGGAAUAUCUCCCUCCCUGGGAUCCCAAGGACUACCCUGCCUACUGGGAUGAAAUUUAUAGAAUCGAUGUGGGUUCCUGGGCAAUGUUCUGUAUGUCCUAUCCUGAGAACACUGAAGUACAAAACUUGGUCAAAGAAUACAUGAAAAGGUUGGCUGCAGAGCCUAGUUGGCUCCUUUCCUUCUUUCUGUAUAAACUUUGCAAAUUUGAAGAAAUGAAUCCAAACUCAAAUGAAACCUCAGAGGCCAGAUUUUCAUAUACAUUUUCAUGUGUAUCUGUAUGUGAAUGUGCGUGUGAGAAGAGGGUUAUUGUCAUUUGUGUUGACUAUGGCUUACGAAAGGCCCAUAGUUUCCUGUUAAAAGGAAAAUGUUUAGAUGGAACCUUAUCAAAGAAAGAGCAUAAUUUGCUAACUUGGGUAAACAGUGUCGUGCUGGUGGUGAGAAUUCCUUCUCCUUUGUUUAACUUGUGCUUAUAGUCAUGCAUCACUUAACCAUGGGGAUGUAUUCUGAGAAAUACAUUAGUAGUUGAUUUUGUCAUUUUGCAAACAUCAUAGAAUAUACUAACACAAACCUAAAUGGUAUAGCCUAUUGCACACCUAUGCUAUUUGGUACACACACACACACACACACAUACAUUUCAACCCUUUGGAGUAACUUUUUUCCUGGAAUCCCAAGGACUACAGUGCCUACUGAAAUGAAAUAUAUGGAAACACCUUGGGUGUCUUAUGUAAACAUACACACACACACUUGAUAUAACCACUUUCUGCCUUGCUACUAAGAUCGUAAUAAACAAAGCAAUGUGAGAUUAAAUUAAGCACAAGAGAAUAUAAUGCAAUGAAGAGAUGUGGUAAACAGAUGUAGAAGGCUGCUGCCAACAUAACACAGCAUACCAUUUUAGAGCAAUUUGUUUUUAAUGGAUACAAGUAUGAUGUAAAAUAACAACAGAAAGUAUAAGAAAUUCAGAAAUGGGGGUGGGAGAUUAGAGGUAAAGCUCAGUGGCAGAGUGCUUAACUAAGCAUGUUGAAGGCCCUGGGUUCAAUCCCCAGUACAGAAAACGUGCGUAUGUGUAUACAGAAGACAAGCAUAGUGCUUAACUAAGCAUGUUGGAGGCCCUGGGUUCAAUCCCCUGUACAGAAAAUGUGUGUAUGUGUAUAUAGAAGACAAGUAUAAAAAGAUAUUCAACAUUAUCCAUCAUGAGUGAAAUUUAAAUUAAAGCUCCAAUGAAAUAUAAGUGUUUACCUAUUAGAAUAACUAAUCAUAAGCCUAACUACGCCAAGUGUUGGUAUGGACAUAGAACAACUGAAACUCUUAUUCAUUGCUGGUAAAAUGCAAAGUGGUAGAGACACUUUGUGAAAUAAUUUAACAGUUUCUUGAACAAUUAAACUUAUACUUCCAAUAAGAUCCAGAAGUCCCACUCAUAGGGAUUUACCCAUUUGAAACAAAAGUUUACAUACACAUGAACAUUUUUAUGAAUAUAUUUAUAGUGCUUAUGUUUAUAAGAGGUAAAAAAGUAGAAACAGCUCCAACUCAUGAAUAUGUAAACAAAGAAGUAAUAAUAUACAAUAGAAUGAAAUCAAUAUAGCAGUAACACUGAAUAAAAGAAAUAUUAUUCUGUUAUUUUAAUAGAUUACAGAACUAAAUUCUCACACUUCAUUGAUAAACAGGUUUAUUACCUGAAAGAAAAAUGUUGUAUGUGAUAGAAUAUUUUUUUUUUCAAAUU